GCGGCUCCUCCUCCCUCCCUGAAUGAGGGGCGGGCUUGCAGGGAGCCCACGGGGGAGCCCCCUUCCCCCUCCCUUUUCGCAGACAGCAUUGUGGGAGCUCAGUUCACCUCCCGCGAGCGCCUCCCCGGCUGGGAGCUGGGGAACAGACUGAGCGCAAAGUAGCCGGAGGCCGUGAUGGGGGGCGCGCCUCGGAGUGGGGCUAAGAACAGGGUCUCCGCCAGCGCUGAGAACAAAGCCUGGAUCGGGCUGGUUAGCGCUGGGGCUAGGUAAGGGCAAGACCAGGGCUCAGGACAGCGCUGUCUGUAGCAGGCUCAGCCCGCGCACACAAAAGGAUCCAGCCCGCGUGGCCCGCCCCCCGCCUGCCCGUGCGCGCAUCGCCUGGCUGGGUGGGCUAUCAGCGCUGUCCACACGUGUGGGGAGGGCGGCAGGACGGGCUGCCAGCUGGGGGAGGGGGGACAGGCCAGGCUAGGACAGGUAACUGCAAAACGUCUCCGCCUGCUGCUGCUUAAUGGAGCCCCCGAGAGGCUUCUUCGGCAUGGCGAAGGGGAGAACUGGAGAAACACAUGUAGAGCGUGGCUGCCCGUUUAGAAAGGCCGCUGCCUUCAUUUUAAAGACAUCCAGGAACUCCAAAUACAAAGAAGGACAACAAAACAUGAUUCAGGAUUUUCCCUUCACACUGCAUUAUGAAGAAACUCUCGUUCCUUCUUAAAGUCAUUCAUUGCAUGACUUUUUUUUUUUCUUUUCAGAAGUUAGUGAAUUGCUGCUCUGGAAAGGAGCAAUAUUGGGUUCUAGUCAUUUUAAUGCAUGAGCACAGUGGAGAACAAAGAAAGAUGUUUUCUUUUUUUAUUUUCAUUUUCUUUAACCUUAAAGGGCCAGAUACUGCCACCUUGAUUCAGGUUGAGUGGUAUCUCACUAUACAAAGCAGACCUAUUGAAAGUAACAGGACUAUGUGCAAAGUAAGGUGCAACUCACCAUGAUUAAAGAUGGCAGAACUGAGGCCAAAGAAAGUUGGUAAUGCUGCUGUGAAACUUUUAUCCUUAAAAUAAUAGAGAUUAUUCACUGUACUGUGAUUUGAAAGAUCUCCCUUUUCUCCCUAUUUCUUUUCCAGUCUCCAUUAUUGCUAACUCUGAUAUGUAAACUUCAGCCAGAGGAAAGGAUGGUGACUUGGCGAUGUGGUUAACAGUGACUGUUCUAGUCCUGCAGCCAUGCUGCAUAUAGAACCCUUACAGACUAUAGGGAGAAUUCCAUUUGUUGAAGGGCUCCCAGGCUGACAUUUAAAAUAAACAGCAAAGGACUGAA